rnacentral:rRNA from 1 species
GACGAACGCUGGCGGCGUGCCUAAUACAUGCAAGUUGAGCGCUGAAGGUUGGUACUUGUACCAACUGGAUGAGCAGCGAACGGGUGAGUAACGCGUGGGGAAUCUGCCUUUGAGCGGGGGACGACAUUUGGAAACGAAUGCUAAUACCGCAUAAAAACUUUAAACACAAGUUUUAAGUUUGAAAGAUGCAAUUGCAUCACUCAAAGAUGAUCCCGCGUUGUAUUAGCUAGUUGGUGAGGUAAAGGCUCACCAAGGCGAUGAUACAUAGCCGACCUGAGAGGGUGAUCGGCCACAUUGGGACUGAGACACGGCCCAAACUCCUACGGGAGGCAGCAGUAGGGAAUCUUCGGCAAUGGACGAAAGUCUGACCGAGCAACGCCGCGUGAGUGAAGAAGGUUUUCGGAUCGUAAAACUCUGUUGGUAGAGAAGAACGUUGGUGAGAGUGGAAAGCUCAUCAAGUGACGGUAACUACCCAGAAAGGGGCGGCUAACUACGUG